rnacentral:lncRNA from 1 species
GUAAAGCUGAGCGCUGGCGUUCUUGGUCCCAGACCGCCGGUACCCGGCGUCCUUCCUUAUCCGGGACAGCUUGGAGCCCUGGAUGACCUGAGGAGCCAGGAGUCACACUCAGACUGCACCGUGGAUCGUCCUUAUUCAGCUGUGAACGAAUCUACAGGAAAAACCUAACUGGAAUGUGCCAGGCUCUAGCCAGAGGAGACCCCAAAAAUAUGAACUGCAACAGAUAACGAGCCGCUGGCUCCGACGCAUCUGCGACCAGUCUCGGGGUGCUUUAUCCACACGCUGGAUUCAUUCCAUGAUGCUGAGUGAGGAAAGCUGGAUUCUAGUCGCAGCCCGGCCAUGACCAACUACUUGACCUUGGGAGCUGGAGGAGGAAAUGGACCCUUGAGCAGUCGAGUCACAGCAGGAAACAGCCCACGUGGCUCAAGUGAAGAGAUUUCAGUGAAAGGACAACCUGCAUAGCCCACGUGUUCUCAGUAUGGAGACAACACCAGCUAUGACCGCUGAUUUGAAGCAUGUCCUACCUUCUGCAGUUUCUCAGGUCCAUCGACCUCCAUCUCUCUUCUGUGGCUUCAUCAGAGAAGGAUGAGUGAACAGUGCUGGUUCCCUGUCCUGUGCUGAGAUGACAUUGCAGGGGUACAGAGGAGACAAGCCACGGACAACCUGUAGCAACAGGAGGAGGAGAAUUAAUAGGAAGGUAAGACCAGAGACUUUCUCUCUGCCCCGCACCCCACCUGCCAACCACGCUGGAUCUCAGACAUCUGACCCAGCUCAGCUCAUGGAAUGCUUCUUCUGAGACUUCAGGUCACAGAGAGUGAUGCAAGGACACAGAGGCAGGUGAGAGACCACCCCCGACAGCCGAGCCCAAGGAUGAGAGUCCAGCAGCAGCACCAUCAAGCAGAGUGUGGGACUUUGGCAUUGAGUGGCCAGGGGCAGCUGUGCCUGGCAGCAUCUUCAUCACACUGACCCUGAGGGGUGACCUUGGCUGUGAUACCCACUGCCUGGCCUCUUGUUCUGGUCAUCCUAUGAGCCUGGUUUGCCAGCCUCUCUUCAAUUCUCAAGCUACCUGAUAUCUUUCCA